AUGGCAGCUGGAGGGAUUGAUGAGAAGCAGCCCCACGCCCCAAACAGCAAAUCACACCCAAAAAAGCAGAGGGUUUCAUCAGCCCUUCAGCAAAGGGGCAGGGAUGUGUGGCUGACACAAAGCUCACCUAGCUCAAGCAAAGCCGACAUCCAAAACCUCCCAAGGAGUCCACAUUUAACAAGAAAUGCAGCUGGGAAAAGCCUUGUAGCUCCUUUCAGUCAUCCAGGCAAAGGAGAAGAAAAUCCCUGCCCAUGGAUUGUGGGAGGACCUGGCUUCAGGCUGAGGCUCGGUCUUGGCAGCACAGAUCUCCAUUCCCAGACCUGAAACAGACUUUUGGGCCGCCAAAACCUCCCAGAGUUGAUUUCACAGCUCUGCAACUCCUCCAACACUAAUUACUAAUAGAGACUAAUUAUCAGAAGAGUGUGAGAGCAGGCGUGGAGUUUCAUCCUGUCGGAGUGGUUCCAAUUACAGCCUCAGCAGCAGGAGCUGCUUCACAUGAGUCAUGCAGGAAAUCCCAGGAUGGGAGCUCUCAGCCUGGGUGUCCCUGAGUAAGAAACACGGAUUGGUCCCUAUCCCUCCAGGAGAUCUGGGCCAGCAACAGCUGGAAAUCAAAUUUCUGACCAGGGAAAUCAGAGGGAGGAGUUCGGGCUGGACUAUGCCAGCAGAGCCAGGGCUGAAGGAUUUGCUGCACAUGUGGGAUUCCAGACAGGACUUUUCCUCAGGCAAAAUGGUUUGGAAUGGGGAGCCCUGGAAUGACCAGCAGAGUUCCUGGCAUGGCUGAGGCAAAUCAGCCUGGUGCAGUUCUGUCCUGAGCUGCUGCCCAGUGCCCAGUGGCCGUGGCACACGAGGAAAGAGCUCAUGGCUCAGGGCUCCAGGAGGAUUUGUCUGUGAGGGUGGUCCAAGAGCCAAUUUCAGAGAAAUGGGAGAGCACAAAGUGUCUCAGGACAAGUGCUCAGCUGGAAUUGAAGAGGAACCAGGAAUUCUGCAUGGAUGAAGGACACAGCAUUGUCUGCACUGGGUGUGACCUGGGGGGAUUCUCCAAACUGAGAUUCCUGGGCCUGCUGCACAGGGGAGAGGGGGCUGCAGGUGCUUGUCACAAUCAUGGAAUGGUUUGGGAUGGGAGGGACAUUAAAUCCCACCCAGAGCCACCCCUGCUAUGGCAGGGACACCUUCCCCUGUCCUAGGUGCUCCAGCCCCAAUGUCCAGCCUGGCCUUGGGCACUGCCAGGGAUCCAGGGGCAGCCCCAGCUGCUCUGGGCACCCUGUGCCAGGGCCUCACCAACCUCACAGAGAGGAAUAUUCUUCCUAACAUCUGAUCUAAAUCUGCUCUCCUUCAGCUCAAAGCCAAUCUCCUUGUCCAUGUCCUUUGGAAAAGUUCCUCUCCUGCUCUCUUGGACCGUGGUGUCACACACUGGGACCACCGGAAGGCCAUCGGGGACAGUCCUACAGCACCCACCUCCAACACCAGCCAUGCCAGCAACCCUCUCCUCAGCUGAGCUGAGCUCACAAACUGAGGAAAAUACAUUUUAUCUUCUCAAUAAUAAUAACAACAAUAAUAAAAACAAUAAAAAGAAAUGCA
ensembl:lncRNA